GGUCCCAUAGCUCAGUUGGUUAGAGCGUCGUACUAAUAUUAUAUCUUCAUCUGUAUAAUAUCGGUAAUGCGAAGGUCGUGAGUUCGACCCUCACUGGGACCA